GCCUACGGGAGGCAGCAGUGGGGGAUAUUGCACAAUGGGGGAAACCCUGAUGCAGCAACGCCGCGUGAGUGAAGAAGGUCUUCGGAUUGUAAAGCUCUGUUCUUGGUGAAGAUAAUGACGGUAGCCAAGGAGAAAGCUCCGGCUAACUACGUGCCAGCAGCCGCGGUAAUACGUAGGGAGCGAGCGUUGUCCGGAUUUACUGGGUGUAAAGGGUGCGCAGGCGGCCUGCUAAGUCUGGAGUGAAAGGUACCGGCUCAACCGGUACAGGCUCUGGAAACUGGCGGGCUAGAGAGCAGGAGAGGGCG
rnacentral:rRNA from 1 species